rnacentral:rRNA from 1 species
AACGAACGACGUGGCGGCGUGCUUAACACAUGCAAGUCGAACGCGAAAGGGACGUUCGGUCCUAGAGUAAAGUGGCGCACGGGUGAGGUAACGCGUAGAUAACCUGUCUUCAUGUCUGGAAUAAUACGCCGAAAGGGGUACUAAUACCGGAUAUCUUGCUUUUCAUAAGUUAUGCAAGCAAAGGUGGCCUCUGCAUAUGCUACUGCAUGAAGAGGGGUCUGCGUACCAUUAGCUAGUAGGUGGGGUAAUGGCCUACCUAGGCGACGAUGGUUAGCGGGUCUGAGAGGAUGAUCCGCCACACUGGCACUGGAACACGGGCCAGACUCCUACGGGAGGCAGCAGUGAGGAAUAUUGUGCAAUGGGGGAAACCCUGACGCAGCGACGCCGCGUGAGUGAAGGAAGGCCUUCGGGUCGUAAAGCUCUGUCAAGAGGAAAGAAGUGUACAAUGGCUAAUACCUGUUGUAUUUGACGGUACCUCUAAAGGAAGCACCGGCUAACUCCGUGCCAGCAGCCGC